UGUCAUUUCAGCUGCGCCUUCCUGUUUUCUGCAUUCAAACAUCAAGCCUCCAAUUUGAAGAAACAUAUAGAAAUCCACAAACCCUCAUCUGGACUUCAGGAGCUUUCUGGAGCACACCAGACAUCAGAGUUACAAAGGAACCUUCCAAAUCCUACCCCAAAUCCUCCCAAAGUGGGGUCUUCCCCAGCAGAUCUCACCUUCACCAUCGAGAAGGUUGUGAGAGCCCUCAAGAAGACCAAGGGGAACACAGCACCUAGACAAUGUCAAUGGCCGUGUUCUACGUCAUUGCGCAGAGCAGCUGGGGGGGCGUGUUUCAGCUCCUGUGUCAAAGAUCAGUAGAGAGCUGCACAGUUCCUCAGUUAUGGAAGCACUCCACGGUGAUCCCCAUCCCUAAGAAGAGCUCAGUCAGGACUCUGAACAACCUUAGGCCUGUGGCUCUGACCUCACUUGUGAUGAAGACCAUGGAGAGAGUCAUGAAGAAGCACAUCGUCAAGGUGACUAAUGCUCUGAUGGACCCUCUGCAGUUUGCAUACCAGGCAAAACACCAGGCAGGUAGAGGGGUUGAUGAUGCAAAAUUAUUCAUCAUGGACACCAUACACAAGCACCUUGAAUGUCCCAACACCUCAGCCAGACUUCUGUUUGCUGACUUUUCCUCAGCAUUCAAUACUAUGCAGCCACAUAUCCAUGCAGAGAAACUAUCCACCCUCUUCCACCUGGAUGACCAGCUAGUUCCGUGGAUCCUAGAUUUUUUAACCAACAGAACACAGAGAGUGCUGGUUAACAACAUCUUCUCCGACCCUCUCCUCCACUGGCUCUCCUCAAGGCUGUGUCCUCUCACCUCUGCUCUUCAUCCUCUACACAGAUGACUGCAGGUCUUCCCACCAUGACCGUUAUCUGAUCAAGCAUGCGGCUGACACCGUUCUUCUGUCUCUGCUCUCUGGUCCUUCUCACCCUCAGAACUCAAUGCUCCACAAGUCUGUGGAGUGGUGUGACCACGCCUCACUAGAGCUGAACGUGGAGAAGACAAAAGCGAUGUUGGUGACCUUUUCCAACAAGCAUAGGGAACUGGCAGCAGAAGACACCAGCACAAUCCAUGGGAAGACUAUGGAGCUUUACUAUACUAUACUGCUAUCUGUGAUAGUAUACUCAGUUUUGCCUUCAACACUGAGGAGAUUCUAAUGAGAUGCCAGCAGCGGCAGUAUCUCCCGAGGAAACUCAGCAGCUUUGGAGUCAACAAGAACAUCUUGAGGACAUUCUACUACUCCUUCAUUGAGGGUGUCAUAACAUUCUCAAUAACCUGCUGGUUCCAUGCCACCACUCUGUAUCACAGAGCCCGCCUGUAGAGGGCAGUCAAGGUGUGCUCUAAAAUAAUUGGAUCCCCAGUCAGAACUCUGUCUUCCUUA